rnacentral:rRNA from 1 species
AUUCCAGCUCCAAUAGCGUAUAUUAAAGUUGUUGCGGUUAAAAAGCUCGUAGUUGGAUUUCUGCCGAGGACGACCGGUCCGCCCUCUGGGUGAGUAUCUGGCUCGGCCUGGGCAUCUUCUUGGAGAACGUAACUGCACUUGACUGUGUGGUGCGGUAUCCAGGACUUUUACUUUGAGGAAAUUAGAGUGUUUCAAGCAGGCACACGCCUUGAAUACAUUAGCAUGGAAUAAUAAUAUAGGACCUCGGUUCUAUUUUGUUGGUUUCUAGAGCUGAGGUAAUGAUUAAUAGGGACAGUCGGGGGCAUUUGUAUUCAAACGACAGAGGUGAAAUUCUUGGACCGUUUGAAGACAAACUACUGCGAAAGCAUUUGCCAAGAAUGUUUUCAUUG